UAACGUCACUACUGUUCGGUCGGUCCCGAAUUAUUUUGUAUUUUACCUGUUAAUUUUUAUUAUUUUUUUGAACGAAUUUGAGUCGUGACACGUCAACAGAGAACAAAAACUGAAAUGUGAACACCGGAAGGGUCAGAUGUGAUCUGCGAGGUCCUGCAAACAUACGGAAAAAAUCAGAGUCAUCCAGCUUAUUAUUGAAAGCACACAAGUGGGAGAGAGUGAGGGGACGGCAUCAGAAAGGACCUAGAGCUGGGACUCUUUCAAGGGUCACCCGAAGCACAACCUCGCUAUAUGCACAAGGCUGUUGGUUCUAACAUUUUAACAGAAUUUGAAGAAACAUUUCUACUUAAAAUAUUAAAUGCAUUUCAUUCAAGGCAGGGUUUUUCCUGUGUAAAGGAUUAAGGUGACUGUCUCUGUCAAAUGUAGUGCCACCUCUGGCUGUCGACAAAAAUCAAGACGGGUGGUUACAUGCUCCUAUACCCCUUUACCACCGACACGGUUUCUGUUGCAGGUUCCAUUCUCAAACUGUUCAACACUUUCACUGCACAAAUGUGCAAAUAUCUUGUAAUGAGACGCAUUAGUAAAACAUGUUUUCAUAGAAACUAUAGGUUUUCACCAAAAUAAAAGAUCAACUGUUUUCAGUCCAAAAAGUACUAGGGGUUUCUCUUGAAA